rnacentral:rRNA from 1 species
UGGGGAAUAUUGCACAAUGGGCGCAAGCCUGAUGCAGCAACGCCGCGUGAACGAUGAAGGUCUUCGGAUCGUAAAGUUCUGUUGCAGGGGAAGAUAAUGACGGUACCCUGUGAGGAAGCCCCGGCUAACUACGUGCCAGCAGCCGCGGUAAUACGUAGGGGGCUAGCGUUAUCUGGAUUUACUGGGCGUAAAGGGUGCGUAGGUGGUCUUUCAAGUCGGUGGUUAAAGGCUACGGCUCAACCGUAGUUAGCCUCCGAAACUGGAAGACUUGAGUGCAGGAGAGGAAAGUGGAAUUCCCAGUGUAGCGGUGAAAUGCGUAGAUAUUGGGAGGAACACCAGUAGCGAAGGCGGCUAUCUGGACAGUAACUGACGCUGAGGCGCGAAAGCGUGGGUAGCAAACAGG